GAGUUUGAUCAUGGCUCAGAUUGAACGCUGGCGGCAUGCCUUACACAUGCAAGUCGAACGGCAGCACGGGAGCUUGCUCCUGGUGGCGAGUGGUCGAACGGGUGAGUAAUGCAUCGGAACGUAUCCUGGAGUGGGGGAUAACGUAGCCGAAAGUUACGCUAAUACCGCAUAUUCUGUGAGCAGGAAAGCGGGGGACCUUCGGGCCUCGCGCUCUUGGAGCGGCCGAUGUCGGAUUAGCUAGUUGGUGAGGUAAAGGCUCACCAAGGCGACGAUCCGUAGCAGGUCUGAGAGGAUGAUCUGCCACACUGGAACUGAGACACGGGUCCAGACUCCUACGGGAGGCAGCAGUGGGGAAUUUUGGACAAUGGGGGCAACCCUGAUCCAGCCAUGCCGCGUGAGUGAAGAAGGCCUCGGUUGUAAG
rnacentral:rRNA from 1 species